rnacentral:piRNA from 1 species
CCCUGAUGGUUAAGGAUGCUGAAC